AGACUGAUGAUGCAGCUAGUGUGGCACUGCGGAAGUCAUGCAGCUCAGCUUUCCUCCAGGAGUCAGAGCCAGGCCAGAGACUAGCAGCUAUAGCAGAAAGAACUCAUGAACUGACUGGGUCAUCAUAACUCUCAUAAAUCAAGACUUUUCUUCUGGAAAAGUUGUCCUUCAGUGCAUGAGAGAAUACCAAGGAAAAAAUACCUGAUGAACUUCAAGUGUUUCAGAAAAGUUUUGCUCUUGUUGCCCAGGCUGGAGUGCAAUGGCACAAUCUCGGCUCACCGCAACCUUCGCCUCCCAAAUUCAAGCGAUUCUCCUGCCCCAGCCUCCCGAGUAGCUGGGACCACAGGCACGUGCCACCACACCCGGCUAAUUUUUUGUAUUUUUAGUAAAGACGGGGUUUCACUAUGUUAGCCAGGAUGGUCUCUAUCUCCUGACCUCAUGAUCUGUCCACCUCAGCCUCCCAAAGUGCUGGGAUUACAGGCAUGAGCCCAACCAAUUUCCUUUCUUUUUUAGAAUAUUUUUAAUAUUCAUGAUGUUAGAUUGCUGAAUCACAUGGUAGUUCUAUUUUUAGUUUUGUGUGGAAACUCCAUAUUGUUUUCCAUAGUGGUUGUACUAAUUUACAUUCCCACCAACAGUGUCCAAGUGUUCCCUUUUCUCUACAUCUUAACUAGCAUUUGUUAUUACUUGUCUUUUGGACAAGAUAUGUCUUAACUGGGGUGAGAUGGCAUCUCAUUGUAGUUUUGAUGUGCAUUUCUCUGAUGAUCAAUGAUGUUGAGAACAUUUUCAUAAAAUAAUUUGGCAUUUGUAUAUCUUCUUUGGAGAAAUGUCUAUUCAGAUCCUUUGCCCAUUUUUAAAUCAGAUUAUUAGUUUUUUUUUUCCUAUAGAGUUGUUUGAAUCCCUUACAUAUUCUGGUUAAAAAUUCAUUCUCAGAUGGGUAGUUGCAAAUAUUUUACUUCAAUCUUUGGGUUGUCUCUAAACUUUAUUGUUUCCUUUGCUGUGCAGCCUUUUAACUUGAUGUGAUCCCAUUUGCCCAUUUUUGCUUUGGCAUGGACUUGUGGGGUAUUGCUUAAGAAAUAUUUGCCCAGACUAAAUGUCUUGGGGAGUUUCCCCAAUGUUUUAUUUUAGUAGUUUUAUAAUUUGAGGUCUUAGUUUUAAGUCUUUAAUCCAUUUUAAUUUUAUUUUGUGUAUGGCGAGAGAUAGGGGUCUAGUUUCAUUCUUCUGCAUGCAGCUAUCCAGUUUUUCCAAUACUGGUUACUGAAGAAUCUAUCUUUUCCCCAGUGUAUGUUCUUGACAUCUUUGGUGAAAAUGAGUUCACUGUAGAGGUAUGGGUUUAUUUCUGGAUUCUCUAUUCUGUUUCAUUUGUCUAUGUGUCUAUUUGCGUGCCAAUACCUUGCAUUUUGGUUCCUAUAGCUCUGUAGUAUAAUUUGAAAUCAAGUAAUGUGAUUCUUCCUAUUUUGUACUUUUUGCCUAGGAUGGCUUUGGCUAUUCUGGGUCCAUUGUGGUUCCAUGUUAAUUUUAGGAUUAUUUUUUGUAUUUCUGUGAAGAAUACCAUUGGUGGUAUUAAUCAAUUUUUUUAGAUACAUCUUUCUUUAAUACUAUGUCACCAAAGUUCUGAAGAAUGAUCGUUUUUGAUAUGAUAUUAUUAUGUUUUGCUUUUCUAUAAAAUUGUCUUCAA